rnacentral:rRNA from 1 species
UGGGGAAUAUUGGACAAUGGGGGAAACCCUGAUCCAGCGAUGCCGCGUGAGUGAAAAAGGCCUUCGGGUUGUAAAGCUCUUUCAGUGGGGAAGAUAAUGACGGUACCCACAGAAGAAGGACCGGCUAACUUCGUGCCAGCAGCCGCGGUAAUACGAAGGGUCCUAGCGUUGUUCGGAAUUACUGGGCGUAAAGGGCGCGUAGGCGGCCUAUUAAGUCAGGUGUGAAAGCCCCGAGCUUAACUUGGGAACUGCACUUGAUACUGGUAGGCUAGAGAUCGGAAGAGGUGAGUGGAAUUCCUAGUGUAGAGGUGAAAUUCGUAGAUAUUAGGAAGAACACCAGUGGCGAAGGCGGCUCACUGGUCCGAUACUGACGCUAAGGCGCGAAAGCGUGGGGAGCAAACAGG